AUCUUAAUAGCUUAUGCUUUAGAGCACAGCACUGAAGAUGCUGGGGAGGCAAAUAUACCGCCUUAAGGUA
rnacentral:tRNA from 1 species